AUAGAUACCCAGGUAGUCCACGACCCUAAACGAUGCGAACUGGAUGUUGGGUACAUUACGGUACUCAGUGUCGAAGCCAACGCGUUAAGUUCGCCGCCUGGGGAGUACGGUCGCAAGACUGAAACUCAAAGGAAUUGACGGGGGCCCGCACAAGCGGUGGAGUAUGUGGUUUAAUUCGAUGCAACGCGAAGAACCUUACCUGGCCUUGACAUCUGUCGAAUCCUGCAGAGAUGCGGGAGUGCCGCAAGGAACGACAAGACAGGUGCUGCAUGGCUGUCGUCAGCUCGUGUCGUGAGAUGUUGGGUUAAGUCCCGCAACGAGCGCAACCCUUGUCCCUAGUUGCCAACACGUAAUGGUGGGAACUCUAGGGAGACUGCCGGUGACAAACCGGAGGAAGGUGGGGAUGACGUCAAGUCCUCAUGGCCCUUACGGCCAGGGCUACACACGUACUACAAUGGUCGGUACAGAGGGUUGCGAAGCCGCGAGGCGGAGCCAAUCCCAGAAAGCCGAUCCCAGUCCGGAUUGGAGUCUGC
rnacentral:rRNA from 1 species